UACGUAGGGGGCAAGCGUUGUCCGGCAUCAUUGGGCGUAAAGCGCGUGUAGGCGGCCCGGUAAGUCCGCUGUGAAAGUCGGGGGCUCAACCCUCGAAUGCCGGUGGAUACUGUCGGGCUAAAGUGCGGAAGAGGCGAGUGGAAUUCCUGGUGUAGCGGUGAAAUGCGCAGAUAUCAGGAGGAACACCAAUUGCGAAGGCAGCUCGCUGGGACGUGACUGACGCUGAGACGCGAAAGCGUGGGGAGCAAACAGG
rnacentral:rRNA from 1 species